rnacentral:rRNA from 1 species
AACGAACGCUGGCGGCAGGCCUAACACAUGCAAGUCGAACGCCCCGCAAGGGGAGUGGCAGACGGGUGAGUAACACGUGGGAACAUGCCCUUUGGUUCGGAAUAACUCAGGGAAACUUGAGCUAAUACCGGAUAAGUCCGCGAGGAGAAAGAUUUAUCGCCGAAGGAUUGGCCCGCGUCUGAUUAGCUUGUUGGUGAGGUAAUGGCUCACCAAGGCGACGAUCAGUAGCUGGUCUGAGAGGAUGAUCAGCCACAUUGGGACUGAGACACGGCCCAAACUCCUACGGGAGGCAGCAGUGGGGAAUAUUGGACAAUGGGCGCAAGCCUGAUCCAGCCAUGCCGCGUGAGUGAUGACGGCCUUAGGGUUGUAAAGCUCUUUUGCCCGGGAAGAUAAUGACGGUACCGGGAGAAUAAGCCCCGGCUAACUUCGUGCCAGCCGCCGCCGUAA